AUGGAAGAUUUCAGAUCCAAAUCGUACGGUGAUGGAAGGAUGCAAAUUGAACCCUACUCAGAAGCAGCAGCGGCUUCUGCUACCGGUGUUUACGGUAUGCAAGAUCUGCGUUGUUACAGUGCUUCUUAUGCUUCCUCUGUUCAUCCAGCACAGACACAGAACCAGAUGAGUAUUAGCAACGAGGGUAAGUUCAAGAAAGGAAAAUCGACGAACGGUUCGGCUUCGAAAAGCUGGAGCUUUAGUGAUCCUGAGAUGCAGAGGAAAAAAAGAGUUGCUAGUUAUAAAGUUUAUUCCGUUGAAGGUAAACUCAAAGGCUCCAUUAGGAAGAGUUUUAAAUGGAUUAAAGAUAGGUGCAACAGAGUUGUUCAUGGUUGGUAG